UGGGGAAUAUUGCACAAUGGGCGCAAGCCUGAUGCAGCGACGCCGCGUGGGGGAUGACGGCCUUCGGGUUGUAAACUCCUUUCGCUAGGGACGAAGCUCUUUGUGACGGUACCUAGAUAAGAAGCACCGGCUAACUACGUGCCAGCAGCCGCGGUAAUACGUAGGGUGCGAGCGUUGUCCGGAAUUACUGGGCGUAAAGGGCUCGUAGGUGGUUUGUCGCGUCGUCUGUGAAAUUCCGGGGCUUAACUCCGGGCGUGCAGGCGAUACGGGCAUAACUUGAGUACUGUAGGGGUAACUGGAAUUCCGGGUGUAGCGGUGAAAUGCGCAGAUAUCAGGAGGAACACCGAUGGCGAAGGCAGGUUACUGGGCAGUUACUGACGCUGAGGAGCGAAAGCAUGGGUAGCGAACAGG
rnacentral:rRNA from 1 species